rnacentral:rRNA from 2 species
CUCCGGGGGACAGAAGGGAGCUUGCUCCCGGAUGUUAGCGGCGGACGGGUGAGUAACACGUGGGUAACCUGCCUGUAAGACUGGGAUAACUCCGGGAAACCGGAGCUAAUACCGGAUAGUUCCUUGAACCGCAUGGUUCAAGGAUGAAAGACGGUUUCGGCUGUCACUUACAGAUGGACCCGCGGCGCAUUAGCUAGUUGGUGRGGUAAUGGCUCACCAAGGCAACGAUGCGUAGCCGACCUGAGAGGGUGAUCGGCCACACUGGGACUGAGACACGGCCCAGAYUCCUACGGGAGGCAGCAGUAGGGAAUCUUCCGCAAUGGACGAAAGUCUGACGGAGCAACGCCGCGUGAGUGAUGAAGGUUUUCGGAUCGUAAAGCUCUGUUGUUAGGGAAGAACAAGUGCGAGAGUAACUGCUCGCACCUUGACGGUACCUAACCAGAAAGCCACGGCUAACUACGUGCCAGCAGCCGCGGUAAUACGUAGGUGGCAAGCGUUGUCCGGAAUUAUUGGGCGUAAAGGGCUCGCAGGCGGUUUCUUAAGUCUGAUGUGAAAGCCCCCGGCUCAACCGGGGAGGGUCAUUGGAAACUGGGAAACUUGAGUGCAGAAGAGGAGAGUGGAAUUCCACGUGUAGCGGUGAAAUGCGUAGAGAUGUGGAGGAACACCAGUGGCGAAGGCGACUCUCUGGUCUGUAACUGACGCUGAGGAGCGAAAGCGUGGGGAGCGAACAGGAUUAGAUACCCUGGUAGUCCACGCCGUAAACGAUGAGUGCUAAGUGUUAGGGGGUUUCCGCCCCUUAGUGCUGCAGCUAACGCAUUAAGCACUCCGCCUGGGGAGUACGGUCGCAAGACUGAAACUCAAAGGAAUUGACGGGGGCCCGCACAAGCGGUGGAGCAUGUGGUUUAAUUCGAAGCAACGCGAAGAACCUUACCAGGUCUUGACAUCCUCUGACAACCCUAGAGAUAGGGCUUUCCCUUCGGGGACAGAGUGACAGGUGGUGCAUGGUUGUCGUCAGCUCGUGUCGUGAGAUGUUGGGUUAAGUCCCGCAACGAGCGCAACCCUUGAUCUUAGUUGCCAGCAUUUAGUUGGGCACUCUAAGGUGACUGCCGGUGACAAACCGRAGGAAGGUGGGGAUGACGUCAAAUCAUCAUGCCCCUUAUGACCUGGGCUACACACGUGCUACAAUGGACAGAACAAAGGGCUKCGAGACCGCAAGGUUUASCGAAUCCCAUAAAUCUGUUCUCAGUUCGGAUCGCAGUCUGCAACUCGACUGCGUGAAGCUGGAAUCGCUAGUAAUCGCGGAUCAGCAUGCCGCGGUGAAUACGUUCCCGGGCCUUGUACACACCGCCCGUCACACCACGAGAGUUUGCAACACCCGAAGUCGGUGAGGUAACCUUCAGGAGUCCAUGCCGCCACGCAAG